rnacentral:lncRNA from 1 species
UUAACCUAAUAUUUAAUUAAAUUGAAGUUUUUACAUUAAUAAUUCAUAGAAUUAUAAUAUCAUAAAGAAAAAAAUAUGCAAAGAGGAGGUCGACCGAAGCACAGUUUUUGGGAAGAAGGAGGAUUUCAGCGUAUUCGUGAAAACGGAAAACAAGUUGCAUCAUGUGUAAAGUGUAAAAAAAUAAUGAAUAAUACCGCUGAACAACGAUUGAAGAGUCACAGGAAGUCGCGUAUUUGGGAAAACUCUGAUUCAAUUUCUGAAUCUGAAGAUAACUGUAAUAUAACAUUGUCUAAAAAACGAAGAAAUCUUUAAGUAACUUUUUUUAUAGUAAUAAUUUCAUUUGAUCUAAUUCAAGAUCUUUAUUUUAAAAAAUUUUGUAAAAUAUUACGGCCUGCAUAUGAAGUCCCUAGUGAAGUUAAGUUAUCGACAACUUUACUUGAAAAAGCUCACGAUAAAUUUACUGAUCGUAAACUAAACUUGAAGGAGAAAAAAGGAACAUUAUUAUUUUGUAAAAAUGUUGCUCAAACAAGUGGCUUAGAGAUUAUUGCUAUAACAAGAACUGGAAAUGAUACAUUAUUUCUAAAGUCUUGGAUCUUGGGAGAAGAACGUGAUUAUAUAAGUAAUUAUUUGCAAAUGAUUAACGAGUCAAGCUCGAUCGCACUUAAAAAGUAUUAUAUAUCAGUGUAUGCUGUGAUAUCAUUUAUAAACAUACCAAAAAAUAAUCGUAUUCUUGAUUCCACAUCAGCAUCGCAACUUCCAUCGGAAUCUAUAUUUAUGUGGCACUUUAAUUGUCAUUUAGAAACUGUCGAUACACUUAUGCAGCAAUUCACGAUGAUUCUUUAGAAAUCAAAAUUAAUCGUCUGUUAAACGCUAUAAAAAGUACUGAUGUUGAAAAAAAAUUAGUAAAACGAGGUGGAGAUACUCUAUCAGCUGUCAAACAAGAUGCUCAGUUUUUAUACUAUUCCAAAUUAUCGGUAUGUCUUAAUAAUUUACCUCUUCUACGUCAAAUUCUUGGUGGAUUGGGAAACUUUAACCGAGAAACGACAUUGAACAUAUUCGAUGAUGUAUUUGAGAAUAAUUUAAAAGAAUCUGUAUCAGUAUUCGAUUUUCUUUCAAAAUUUAUAACUAGAAAUAGUGGAAAUGAUUUUAAUAUUGCUGACGCCAUCGAGGAUUGGUUUAAAUUAAGAUUACUGAUAAAAAAUGAUUAUUUUUUAGACAUCAUUGACAAUGAAUUAAAAAAAAUCAUUACUCCCCGGGCGUUGACGGCAAAUUUUUUGCAUCCAUUAUAUAGAGGUAGUUAUUUCAUGAAAAUUAGUAAAUAUAGUAAUAUAGUUUAUGAAUUUUUGAUUGAUGAACUAGAUGAUACAGGAUUGUAGGAAUUAGAGUGUUUUAAAAAUUCUAAAGGUUUAUUUGCAAAGUUAAUUACUAAAACUACCUUUUCAAAAACUUUUUGGAGUAUAUAGCUUCAGAACAAAAUCCAAAUCUUAGUAUGUUGGCUCAAUCAUUAUUAAAAAUACCAGCAUGUACGAUAAAAUUUAAUCAGUAUGACUUAGGUAAAAACUUACCAGAAAAAUUAGUACCUAAGUUCACUGAUGUUUUUUAUAAUCUUAAAUUUAUGAAUGCUAAUU